rnacentral:lncRNA from 1 species
UGUUUUACUUUUUUUUACCUUAUUUUUGUUGUCUCUCUCACUUUUACAUACUUCUAAUGGAAUGAUGGUUGCUAACUUGUCCAAUUAUAAUGUUGUCUUGUUCUUAAGUUAAAACUUCUCAUCAUUAAAGCAAGGUAAACCAUUUUACUGUUUGUAGAGUUUUUUGCUGACAGAAAAGCACAUAAUAUUUUGUAUGACUAUGAUCUUUUCCAGAAUUAAUUUGGUCAUUGUGUUGGUGCCGGUUGUAAAUGAAGUAUCUUAAAACUUUUGUAGGCUUUUAUUAUUAGAAGUUGUAAUAAUUAAUAUUAGGGUUGUGCAUAGUUUCAUAGCUGGCCCAAAUUGAAUUGAAUCAUAUCAGGACUUAAAAUACUAGAACCAAACUGGAACCAUUUAUACUGAUAACUAUUGGGCUUCGGAUACUCAGGUCACAGCUAAGCCUAUGUAGGGAGGCCGGACCGUAGCCUCAUCAAAGCCCGUUACAUAGGUCCACUCACUAGCACGCGGCCCUGACCUCGUGCAAAUAGGGUGGACAAAACAGGGUUCGGGCUCAUUGUAGGGAGAUCGAGCUCAACUGAUUUGAUGGAUUGGUGGGACACACAUACCCUAUACAUUCAUGAUUGUGUCCACAGGGCGCCGGAGGAAAUUAAAUGGCCGCUUGACGAUGGGAGAGGGCACAAUACAUCUGUAUGUACGGUUUUGCGUGAUAAUGGCAGGGUGUAUUGGAUCUCAGGAUAUCAAUUGUCGCUGUCUGUGGGAAAUGAAGAUCUUUUUGUCACUGGAGUUCUCAUUCUCACCAUACCCACUGAGAUCUGCAUUGCCAACCACGGCUAAAGUCAUACCAGAAACACUCCAAACGAAGCAAGGACCAUAGUUCUCAUUUUGCAGCUCUGCCACUCCACUAAGCCAACCACCUUUGUUGUUUAACCUUCGCCAAGCUCAGCAGGACUGCUUAUUGGCUAGGGCAGAUGUUGCAACAAAGGAGACUCGGUACCCCAUUGAGCAUACCACCAGUAAUCGAAGGGCUCAACGUUAAUGAGUUCCAACCCACACUAAACCACCAAGCCCCUCAGCAAAGCAGGAGGACGGGUGACGGAGACGAAGAAGCUAACAGAAGGAACGAGUUUGUGGCCAAAGUGAGAGGCUGAGUAGUACGGAAACUUAUUGAGAAUGAUGGGGUUGAAAGUUAUUCCUUUGAACCAACAGAAUAGUAAGGGAACUUAUUGAGAAUGAUGGGGCUGAAAGUUAUUCUUUAGAACCAAUAGAAAGGUCAAAACUGAAAAGUUGGAGAGAAAUUACCGCCUGGAGAAAAGGCCAAAGAGAGAAGAGGCAGAUGUAGAUCAAAAGCUGGAGAGGCUAAAGGAGCAACUACUAGUAGAGUUAGGGGCACGAGACAACAGCAGCUCCCUGCUACCAACCCAUCCCCAUUCAUGAGAUGGGUGCAGCAGGAAACCAUCCCAAAAAAUUCAUGAUGCCGACAAUGGCUGCGUAUGACGGCACGAGAAACCCCUGGGAGCACGUCUUGAACUAUAAGACGUUCAUGGAGCUGCAGAUCCAUUCGGAUGCAUUGAUGUGCAAAUUUUUUCCCACCACUCUCACGGGCCAGUCCGAGCAUGCUUCAACAGCCUAGAGGGAGGGAGCAUUAAAAGCUUUAUGGACCUAGCCAGUGUGUUUAUCAGCAGGUUCAUUGCCGGGAUCCCAGCUAAAACAAAAACAAGCUACUUGGAAACAGUUCAGCAAAGAAGGAAUGAUCUCUGAGGAAAUAUGUGGUUAGGUUCAAUUCGGAGGCUCUACAAAUUCCCGAGCUUGACGAAGCUAGAGCAAUAGAAGCCAUGUAGAAGGAUACCACCUAUCCAAAGUUUUUUGGACCACUAUGCAGAAAGCCGCUCACCACCUUGGCAGUGUUGCUGAAGAGAGUAGAAAAAUAUAUAAGACAAGGCGAUGCCUUAACCACUAGCAGAUUUGUCAAGGAAGCAGGAGACAGAGGAAAGACUGAAGAGGAUAAGCGGUCGGACAGGAAGGAAAGGAGGCAGGACCAGGGGCCUGAAUCGUUGAGCAGACACUGGUGGGAGAGGAAAGUGCAGAGACACUAUGAUGAGACUUUGGUCAUAGAAGCCGUCAUCCUUAACUUCAGGGUCCAAAAGGUUUUAGUAGACGACAGUAGCAAGGUGAACCUGCUGUCCUACCGGGUUUUUCAGCAGAUGAACAUAUUGAGAAACAGCUGGUCAGAGACCGGGCUCUAGCCAAAGGGAUAGGGGGGAUUCCAUUGGCAGUAGAAGGGAAAGUAAAGGUGGCCUUUACCCUAGGGGAACCACCUCUAUCCUGAAUUCACUAUGCAGUAUUCCGUGUGGAGGUCCGAGCUGUGUACCUGGCCACGGUGGAGGAACCAAGCAUCCAAUUAGAAGAAGUAAACUCUGAAGUCAUGGAGGUCCGAGAUGAGAAGAAAGAGACUAGGACUGAGCCGGUAGAUAAACUGGAGACCUUCUCAUUGUUCGAGGAAGAAAGCGACAAGUUCUUCAGUAUCAACUCAGAUCUUGAAAAGUGUAACGACUCGGGAACUGGACCGCUGUCGGUGCUAGGAUUCAGAUCGACUUAAGGUCGCUAGAGCCCAUAGCAAGCCUACUAUACAUCCUGUUACACCUGAUAUAAUCCCAUACAUGAUCAUACAAACAACAAAAACAUAAUCAUUAUAUGAACCAAGACUCGACCUUUGCAUGCAUCAUAACUGCAAACAUGAAAUCCAUACUAGAGCCUUUAUCAAAUGCUCCAGUAUGGUCAACAUAACAUGUCUUAAUCUCGGCUCGAACAUAACUUAUGCUUAAAAACUUUUGCAUAAAAGUAUCAUGAAACAUGGAUUACAAGGAAGAACACGGGCAAAGCAAAAUUCUAAUUCAUAAAUUAAUACAUGUCCACAACUAUACUAUUACAACAGGCUAUACCAGUAACUCAGUUGACUUUCCGAGCUAACUCUGAUCCUGCAAACCUAGGGUUAGGGGAAAGGGAUAACCUAGGGUUAGGGGAAAAGGAUAAGCUAACCUGGGGUUAGGGGAAAGGGAUAAGCUACAAGAGCCUAGUAAGCGGAACAUACAAAAAACAGUUCAAUAAAAUAUAUGAUCGUAUGAAUGCGUCACAACACAAACAAUUCACAUCAAGAUAGACUUGUCACCAGUAACUCCUUACAGAUUCCAAUAGUGCUCGACCCACGACAGGUGCUUCGCAGGACUUCCUCUUAAACAUAACAUAACAUGUCCAUAGUGCCAGGGGCGUAGAAUGAGUAGCCCUGGUCUUUCCAUAUCCAUCAUAACAUAUCAUAACAUACUCGAGGGCUAGUGGGUCAUCGAACGUCCAUCCACAACGACAAUAAUAUAUGCAAUGCAUCAUAUUCGUGAACUCUAAUACAAAACAACCUAAUUGUAUAUACAUGACAUUCGUGAUGCAUGAGCAUGCUUAAAAAUUUGAUUUCUUUAAAAUAAUAGAUCAGUUCAGUUCUACUCACCUCUAACUGACGCACACCUAAUACUGAAGCAGUUAUCUCAAUGCAAGCCUCUUCGGUCUUCCAAGUUUGAUCCUACACAGAUGAACUUAAAUGAGGGAUCAAGCAUAACUUUUACAACACUUAAAACAACCCUCCAAGAAACCUCUACACAAGAACACUCAUAGGAAACAAACAGAAAAAGGCUGGACAGGGAACUUUUGACGAUAGGUUCGGUGGCCUAAAGUCCCUCACAAAUCCGAAGGUCAAAACCUUCGGAGGCAGGUUAGGCGGCCAAAUGGCUACCUCCACAGGCAGGUUCGGUGGCUGAACUUGGGUUCUUCAGUAGGGCAGAACCCGAUUUUGCCCUAUGCUCACAGCCAAGAAACAAACCUAAACUUACAUGCAACAAUUCUAUACAGAUGGACUUAAAUGGGGGACCAAACAUAACUUUUAUAACACUUAAAACAACCUCCUAAGAAACCCCUAAGAACACACAAGAACACUCGUAGGAAACAGGCAGAAAAAGGCUGGACAUGGGACUUUCGGCGGUAGGUUCGGCGGCUUAAAGUCCCUCACAGAUCCGAAGGUCACAACCUUCGGAGGCAGGUUAGGCGGCCAAAUGGCUGCCUCCACAGGCAAAUUCGGCAGUCGAAUCUUGCUUCGGCGGCUGAACCUAGGUUCUCCAGUAAUGCAGAACUCGAUUUUACCCUAUUCUCACAGCCAAGAAACAAACCCAAACUUACAUGCAGCAGCCUAAAGACUACCAUACACACUUAACACGCAUAAGGGACCUCAAAAACUUGUUUUAAACUCAACAUGCGUCAAUAAAAUCCCAAGAGAAAAUCAUCCAUCAUCAAAACUAACUCAAACUUUAAAACUUUAGAAUAAUCAAUCAUGUAUGACCUAACAACUUGUAAUACUGGUUUAAAACCUUCAAAAAACAUAAGAAAAGCAAGGAUUGAACUUACCUCUUGAAGAACACGAAAAACACAGCAAUUCAGACUUGGAGAGGAGGGAGAUCGAUUUUCGGAGGUCUCCAGAGGUUAAAGCUUGAAAUCCAAACUCAAAUCUUAAAAAACAAAGUAAAAACUCAUGAAUUCUCCAAGAGAUUUGAAGUAAUUUCAGCAAAAAAGUCUACAAAAGGGCAUGGACUUACCUCUGCCUGAAAGAAAGAGCUCUCAUGUUUUCAGGCUGAAGGCCUUUUAUAAGUGGCUGGAAAAGCCACCUUUGGCGGCUGAACCUUGAAACUCCUCUAACUCUUUUUUUUUUUUCUUUGAACACAUUUAAAAAUGCUUCAAAUUCAUUUUAUAAAUGCCUUAUUUUACCCUUCUAAAGAUUCCAACUUUGAGAUUCCUGAUUCCGAUGGGGAUUCCGUUAGAAAUUUGAAAUUCCGAUGCCGAAGUUUAACCGGGUAUUACAUUCUUCUCCCCUUAAGAACAUUCGUCCUCGAAUGUUCAACAAAGCAAAUAAGCAAGCAAAACAUACACAUCAAGAAGACAUAAAACCAUCUAACAACUUACUUUAAAAGAGGUGAGGGUACUCAUUAAGCAUCGACUCUCGGGUCUCUCAGGUGCACUCUUCCAUAUUGUGGUGAUUCCAUAAAACUUUCACCAUCGCGAUUUUCUUGUUCCUCAGCUUUCUGAUCUGCGUGUCUACGAUCCGCACUAGCUACUCAGUAUAGGUGAGAUCUCCUAGGAUCUCCAUGUCAGGCUCACUAAGAAUCUUGCUCGGAUCUGACAUGAAUUUUCGUAACAUAGAAACAUGGAAAACUGGAUGGAUUCUCUCCAUAGAAGCAUGUAGAUCUAACUUGUAAGAUACAUUCCCAAUCUUUUGCAAGAUUUCGAAGGGUUUGAUGUACCUUGGAGCUAGUUUACCUUUCUUUCCAAAACGAAUCACCCUCUUCAUAGGAGACGCCUUAAGCAAUCCCUCCUGAAAGAUAACUUGCUUUCUGCGGAUGUCUGCAUAGCUCUUCUGCCUACUUAUGGCUGUUCUGAUUCUUUCUCUAAUAAUGGGCACUACCAUGCUGGUGAUCUCUAUUAAUUCUGGCCCUGCUAAAGCCCUUUUUUCUACUUUUUCCUAGUAGACAGGUGACCUGCACUUCCUCCCAUAUAAGGCUUCAUAAGGAGCCAUCCCAAUGCUAGCAUGGUAACUAUUAUUGUAGGCAAACUCCACUAAUGGUAGAUGUUGCCUCCAAGAACCACCAAAGUCUAGCACACACAUCCUUAACAUAUCCUCUAUAGUUUGGAUGGUCCUUUUCGACUGUCUAUCAGUCUGUGGGUGGAAAGUAAUGCUAAAGUCUAGUCUCGUGCCCAUAGCAUUUUGCAGACUCCGCCAGAACUUGGAGGUAAACUGGGGUCCCCUAUCUGACACUAUAAAAACUGGAGCCCCAUGUAGCCUGAUGAUUUCUUCCAUGUAGAUCUGCGCCAACUUGUCUACAGUGUGACUGCUCCUGACAGGAAUAAAGUGAGCAGAUUUGGUCAAUCUGUCUACUGUUACCCAUAUAGAGUCAUGUCUGUUGAACGUUGCCGGUAACCCCACUACAAAAUUCAUUGCCACGCUUUCUCAUUUCUACUUUGGAAUCGGUAGUGGGUUGAGCAUUUCAGCUGGCUUCUGAUGUUCCAAUUUCACCCUUUGACACACCUCACAAGCGGGCACAAAUUGAGCCACUUCCCUCUUCAUAGAUGGCCACCAAUACACUUUGUUUAGAUCCUGAUACAUUUUGGUGGCUCUAGGGUGGAUACUGUACCUGGCAUUAUAAGCCUCUCUCAUAAUGUCUCCUUUCAAGCCUAUGUCAUCUAGUGCAUACAAUCUGUUCCCGUAAUGGAGAAUCCCUCUGUUGUCUAACCUAAAAUCACCAUUCUUACCUUUCUGAACUACUCCUGCUAUUUUUAACAACUCGGGUUCUCAUGCUGUUUCUGUGCCACUUGUUCCAGAAACAUGGGUGUCACUUUCAUUUGUGCUACUAACGCACCUGUACCAGACAACUCUAGUUGCAAGCCUUCAUUAACAAGCCUGUAAAACUCUUUCACCAGUGGUCUUCUUUCCAUUGAGAUGUGGGAUAAAUUGCCAAAUGAUUUUCGCAUAAGAGUAUCUACCACCACAUUUACUUUGCUCGGAUGAUACUGGAUUUUGCAAUCGUAAUCACUAAGCAGUUCCACCCAUCUCCUCUGCCUCAAGUUUAACUCUCUCUGACUCAAGAUGUAUUGCAAGCUCUUAUGAUCUGUGAAGAUCUCACUUUUCAUCCCAUACAGGUAUUGCCUCCACAUCUUGAGUACAAAUAUCACAACUGCCAUUUCUAGAUUGUGUGUAGGAUAAUUUAACCGGUGCUUCUUCAACUGUCUAGAAGCAUAAGCAAUGGCCCUCUUAUUCUGCAUCAACACACAACCUAGUCCCACUCGGGAUGCAGUAGUUGGGGUGUUUUUGGUAUGGUUUUCGCCGUGGUUUGCAAUGCGGAUCUCAGUGGAUAUGGUGAGGAUGAGAACUUCGGUGAUGAAAAAAACUCUUUCAUUUCCCACAGAUGGUGCCAAUUGAUAUUCUGAGAUCUAAUAGCGAGUAGGCUCAAGGUAUUGAUAUUCUGAGACCCAAUAGUGAGUAGGCUCAAGGUAUGUAUUUUUGAACUUGGGCUGAUUAGCUCAUGCCUUUCUUCUUUCAUCCUUUUCCCUUUUAUCUUCUAGUGACACAACCACCGUCCUGCACUGGCACACUCUGUCAUUAUUACGCGAAACCGUACGUACAGAUGUACUGUGCCCUCUCCCAUCGCCAGGUAGCCAUUUAAUUUCCUCCGGCGCACUGUUCUAUCCAGCCUAUUUGCACGAGGUCAGGGCCGCGCGCUAGUGAGUGGACUCGCUUAGCGGGUUAUGAUGAAGCUACGGUCCGGCCUCCCUACAUGGGUUUAGCUGUGACUUGAGCAUCCGAGGCCCAAUAAUUAUCAAAUCUCAACAUAAAAUCUUUUUUCUUCUCAUCUAUGGUCUACCCAUGCGACUUUCUUAGCAAAGGAGGGAAGAAUCAGUGCUUGAAGAGUGAUGUUUUCAUUUGCUUAUGGAAAAUAUUUUUUUUCAAAUUUUUUUCCUUACUUUUGUGUAAUAUCAUGGAGCUCAAAUGAUGAACUUGUGAUUGUUUUUUUUUCCUCAAAAUAUUGUGCAAACC